UAAAACACAGUCUUUAUUUCAAAAAGUACAACAAGAGAGCCCACUUAAUGAAAACCUAAAGUCUUCAGGUUUAACUAUUUUCCUGCUUCCACAGAUGGCUCUGAUUUAAAAAAAUGUAUUGUUACAAUUAAUAUGUUUAAUCAAAUGAGUGAUUACGUCUACGUAUCAAGUUUUGACCAUCCUAGACCCUUCGGUUCAGAAUAAUUAAUACAUGUAUACAGCUCCUUGAAAACUUCCUACAACGUCUCUUCCCGCGUUAUGUUCUCUUAGAUAGUUAUAUUUACUUACGUGAUAAUCCCCAUGAACCCGCAAGAAUGCGCGAAAUUCUUGCUUAUUUCCGUUCUCGACCUGGUGGCUCAUUUCACAUUGAUUUAAUUGAUGAUGAACCUGUUUUGCGCGUUUCAAUUCGUGCCAUUAGAAGUGGCAGACAACUUUAAAAUUCACGGAAACGGAAAGCAAUACUAAAUGAUAACAUCAGUGCCAUCUUUUAAAGUGUAAUGAAAAUAUAUUUCUGGCUCUCUCUAUGGAGAUUUAUCCGUUUUACUUUGGUAAAUAAAAAAAUUGAUUCAAUUUAAUUCAAUGUGUUUUAUUGUUAUUGUUUUGUAAAGUAUGAAUUAAUCAAAAUAACAAAUAUGCAGAAACUUUCUCCUAGAACUUUUAGUGUCUUUAGUUGUAUGUUAUUCCCUAAAUGCCAAAAGUCUACCAAAUCAAGUGAUAUUUUUGAUCGUGAUGCUAAACGCCGUCAAAGAGAAUCAUCAGCGCAAAAGGAUGAUUUCGCUGUUUAUCAAUAUGUAAAAGAAGAAUUCGGUUAUCGGAUGGCUGACAAAGUCUGGGAUAUCAAACGACUUUUCACCCAUGCAAUCGAACUCUCUUCCGGAAGUGGAUUUGUCACGCAAAAUUUAACUAGAGCAAGUUGAUUGAUUAUUGAAAAACGCAUACAAGUACAUAUACGAAACCUUUUACAAAUUUUGCCUGUUACAAUUUACAGGUCGGAGCACUUGAUUAUGAAGUAACUCCAUCAAACAUGUGGCAAGGAGUGUUUCCUUUACAUCUCCUAGGUUACAUAUUAUCAAUGGCUUAGGCGGCCAUUCAAAAGGUUUCAAAUGUGGGGGGAGGGAUGGGGGAAGGAAAUACAAUAAUUAUUGGGUUUACAAAGUUGUGGGAAAGAGGGAAGAGGUGUAGCGUUACAAUAAAUCAAAUAAUAAUUGUUAUUUGUUUGUAUGUUUCAAUUGAUUGAUUUAGAAAAUUUAAUAAUUGUUUAAUUUUCUUUGUUUUGUCUCUUCUGGUUACGGUGUUCUCAAUGUUAAAGUUGGUUAACUGGUGGGUUUCUCUGAGUUCUGUCAUUGUUGGACACUGACUGAUAUCCAUAUGUUUAAAGAAUAAUUUUUUCUAGGUCCCAAUAUUUGAAUACGCCGAUAUUCCCAUAUGGAUCAACCAGAAAGUCGAGUGAGGGUGAUAACGUCAUCCAUGGAUUGUUUGUUGUGUUUUCCUUGAGGAUGGAUAUAAUCUGCAUAUUAAUAAUUGUUUGUAUUUGUUGUUUUUUCAUAUAAUUUGGUGUUUACCAAUCUCCCACGGAAUCCAAAUUUUCUGGCAGUUUAGUUCAAAUUGCACGACCACCAUUAGAAGCCAGCCAUGAUUUUGUGAUUUUUUGAAACAACUCAAGAUUUGGUUCGUUACUUGGAUGCUGAUUUGUGUUUUUGUGUUGUAAAUUUUGAUUGACGGAAGAGUUUUGUUUCUUCUGUGCCAAAAAUAUUGGUCAUCGAUUGGAUAUUGUUCAAUGUGUAUCGGGGGAUGGAUGUAAUAAUUAAUCAUGGCUAUAUCGUCGAUUCUUUGGUUUUCAAUAAUUGUUUUCCACAUUUCGAGGAUCUGAUGUUUCAGGUUAUAUAUCGUCCAAAGUGUUUGGUACCCAGUGUAAUUGUUAUGAAGGAUAUUAAGUAGUUUUUUAGUUUCAUUGAGUAUUGUGAGGAUUAGUUCCUUAGGUGAUAAUUCUUUGAAGAUGUAGUAGCCCAUUUUUUUAUCGUAGGUAGGAUUUUUGAAGCAAUAAUUAUUUUCUUAAUUUUGAGUGGAAGGAAUGGUAGAUAUUGAAUGACCCCAGAGAAUUCGGUUAAAAUGUUCUUAUAUGUAGUAUUGAUGAGUUGAGUCAGUUGGAGUUUGUUAUUAGUAAGGUUAAAUCCUAGUAUUUGGAAUUCUUUGUUAAAAGUGUAUUUAUUGGUUUGAUUAUAAUAAUAAUUAUUGGAUUUUUGGAAAUUGAUCGUUAAGUCUAUCUCACUCAAGAAUUGUUUAAUCAGAGUGAUGGUUGUUUCGUACUCUUUCUCGACGAACUUUGAUAGUUGGUUGAUACAAGCAGCUGAUUUUUUGAUCUUUAUGAUGAAAUCGUCCGCAUAGGAAAUAAUUUCAGCUUCAGGUUUCGCUAUUGAGAAUUGUCUAAUGGGAAAAUCGAGAGUCAUGAUGAAUAAUAAUGGACCACUUGAUGUUCCUUGUAGAACUCCUUUUUCUUCUUUCUUAUACCAGAAUUUAUUGUCGAUCAUUAGUUUGAUAUGUUCUUAUAAUCUUUGCUUAUUUCAUCUUUCAGUUUAUGAAUAAUUUUCUCAUAUUGA